GAUGAAGAACGUAGCGAAAUGCGAUAAGUAAUGUGAAUUGCAGAAUUCAGUGAAUCAUCGAAUCUUUGAACGCACCUUGCGCCCUUUGGACUUCUGAAGGGCAUGCCUGUUUGAGUAUCAUGAACACCUCAACUCCUUAUGGUCUUCCAUGACGAGCUUGGACUUUGGGGGUUUUGCUGGCCUACAGUCAGCUCCUCUAAAAUAAAUCAGCUUACCGGUGUUUGGUGGGUAUCAUGGGUGUGAUAACUAUCUACGCUCGUGGUUUUCCACCAGGUAACCUUCAGCAGUGGAGGUUCACUGGAGCUCAUAGAUGUCUCUCCUCAGCGAGGACAGCCCUUUGAAUGUUUGAUCUCAAAUCAGGUAGGACUACCCGCUGAACUUAAGCAUAUCAAUAAGCGGAGGA
rnacentral:misc_RNA from 1 species